GACGAACGCUGGCGGCGUGCUUAACACAUGCAAGUCGUACGGUAAGGCCCUUUCGGGGGUACACGAGUGGCGAACGGGUGAGUAACACGUGAGUAACCUGCCCACAACUUUGGGAUAACGCUAGGAAACUGGUGCUAAUACCGGAUAUGUGCUCCUGCUGCAUGGUGGGGGUUGGAAAGCUCCGGCGGUUGUGGAUGGACUCGCGGCCUAUCAGCUUGUUGGUGGGGUAGUGGCCUACCAAGGCGGCGACGGGUAGCCGGCCUGAGAGGGUGACCGGCCACAUUGGGACUGAGAUACGGCCCAGACUCCUACGGGAGGCAGCAGUGGGGAAUCUUGCACAAUGGGCGCCAGCCUGAUGCAGCAACGCCGCGUGCGGGAUGACGGCCUUCGGGUUGUAAACCGCUUUCAGCAGGGACGAAGCUUUUUGUGACGGUACCUGCAGAAGAAGCACCGGCUAACUACGUG
rnacentral:rRNA from 1 species